rnacentral:rRNA from 1 species
UACGGGGGGGGCGAGCGUUGUUCGGAAUUACUGGGCGUAAAGGGUUUGUAGGUGGUCUGCUAAGUCAGACGUGAAAUCCCUCAGCUUAACUGGGGAACUGCGUCUGAUACUGGCGGACUUGAGGACAGGAGAGGAACGCGGAAUUCCAGGUGUAGCGGUGAAAUGCGUAGAUAUCAGGAGGAAUACCGAUGGCGAAGGCAGGUCUCUGGGCUGACACUGACGCUCAUGCACGAAAGCGUGGGGAGCAAACAGG